rfam:Aspergillus tubingensis CBS 134.48 unplaced genomic scaffold ASPTTscaffold_4, whole genome shotgun sequence.
GGGACAAUGGCGCAUCUGGGAGCGCGUCAGACUGAAGAUCUGGAGGUGGCCGGUUCAAGCCCGGCUUGUCCCA